UUGGAUCAAAAUAAAUAACCAAGCCGAUUAAUUUCAGUUUUGUUUUUUCCCCUUCCAAACCGAUUCAAACUGAAAUGCAAUGCCAAGAUGCCAUCCUUUAAGAAUCAACAACGUUGUCCUCAUUGUUACAGCUUCUUGCAAAGGAAAAAAUAAUUGCAAAAAAACAGUAUCAGUUUUUAGCAAUCACUGCUUUGAUUUUUCUGGAUACUCUUCAGCUUUUAACCUGAAAUAAUCCCUCUCAGGCAAUCGAGGUGGGAUCUUUUUAUGCCGUGACCCAAGAAGGAGAAUCAAGUAAAUCAAUGGAAGAAUCACCAGCAAUUCACCUUUGACAUGACAACUUUGAGAGAUAAGAGACAGAAAGCAUGGAAGUUGUGAAUGAAAAGGACCCUUCAAAUAAUGAAAGCAUUCAAAGAGUUAAUGGGAGGGGAGGGG